GUGGGGAAUAUUGGACAAUGGGGGGAACCCUGAUCCAGCCAUGCCGCGUGUGUGAAGAAGGCCUUUUGGUUGUAAAGCACUUUAAGCGAGGAGGAGGCUACCGAGAUUAAUACUCUUGGAUAGUGGACGUUACUCGCAGAAUAAGCACCGGCUAACUCUGUGCCAGCAGCCGCGGUAAUACAGAGGGUGCAAGCGUAAAUCGGAUUUACUGGGCGUAAAGCGCGCGUAGGUGGCCAAUUAAGUCAAAUGUGAAAUCCCCGAGCUUAACUUGGGAAUUGCAUUCGAUACUGGUUGGCUAGAGUAUGGGAGAGGAUGGGAGAAUUCCAGGUGUAGCGGUGAAAUGCGUAGAGAUCUGGAGGAAUACCGAUGGCGAAGGCAGCCAUCUGGCCUAAUACUGACACUGAGGUGCGAAAGCAUGGGGAGCAAACAGGAUUAGAUACCCCAGUAGUCC
rnacentral:rRNA from 1 species